AUGACAUGGCCCUCAGCCUGCGCUGCACGGGACCAGCAGCGAGGAAUGGGGAGAAAAUAAGUCAGAGAAGCAGUGGGAACGCAUCUGUGGAGCCCCUGCUCUGUCUGUUAGGCUCUGGGCAGGAGCAUUUGCACAUCUGGUCUCUAUUCCUCAGAGCCACUAUUUGAGGUAAGUGUGAUUAUCUCUGUGUUACAUGGAAGAAGACCGAAUGUGUCACUUGAGACUCUUUUGGCCACAAGUAAUGCAAAACCUGACUCGAACUGGCUUUAACCUUAGGGAACUGUAUCUCCUCACUCUCGGGAACUUUAGGGGGAAAGUGGGCUUCAGGAAUUGCAUGAUCAAGGCUCUGGAUCUAUUUCUCUGCAUUUCCUUUGGUUUGCUCCCCUCUGCGUUGGCCUUGCCCUCAGUCUGGCUUUCUUCAUGGCAGUAAAAUGGCUACUGCCAGCAACCAGCAGCUGGGGCUCCGGUUCUCCAGGUCUCCAGAUCUCAAACUCCUGUGGAUGAAAUAGGAGAUGUUGCAAGUGACAGAAUAUCCAAUUCAAAAUGGCUUAAGUGAGGAAGAAAUGUUUUUAUAUAUGUGAGAAGCUAUAUGGAGUUUCCUCUAGCUUCAGGGAUGGCUGGAUUUAGGGGCUCAAAUGUCGUCAGCAGCAACCAAUCUCUUUCCAUCUCCUGGCUCCGUCUUCUCCUGUGACAUCUUGCGGUAUAGAGUGCAGUGCACCAAGCUGGUGGAGAGCAGUUGCAGAUCUUCAUCCUCACAUCUCAGCAGGAAAUAGAGAGAACGUCUGUGUGAGAGACAUUUGCUUUCCUGGCAGUUCAAACUACAGUCCUGGGGUGGAUUCUCAUUGACCCGAGACCAUCACCCUGAUGCUGAUGAGGAGGACUUGGGUCACGUGCCCAUCCCAAGCGCUGAGAGAGUCAGCCCCUCUCCAACUGCACAAGCUGAGAGUCAGAAAGCCUGACUACAAGUUGAGUCAACACCAUGAAACAGAAUCACUUUGAGAGAAUCUGACCCACACAGCCAACCUGGUGGACCGAUGUGUCUUUGGAGAAGGAAAGAGAAAAAGAAGGAAGGAAGAAAGGGAAGAAGGAAAAGAAAUUGUAUGUAGAUAAACAUAAUUAAUGAAAUGUAGACAAUCCCCCAAAAGUGCUGCCCGUGUCUCCUGCUCUGUGGGCCGAGUUCUUGAUUCACCAGCUCAGGCAGGGGUCCCAGACACUAAAAAGUGGGCUGUAGAAAGCACUUCUAAGGAAAUGUCGAACAGUUCCCAAAUGCAGACAAGUCGUGGGAUCUUCCGGGAGAACUUGGAUCUUCCCACAUCUGUCUGCUACUGGGAGAAGUUGCUGUGCACACACAUGAGCUGAGGGCUGCUACAGUUUUAGGGUAAAAAGAUUGACAAAUUGGCAUACAUUUGGCCCUGAAAAUGGAUGCAUCUAAAGUAGCAUUAAACUGUCCUCCUAGUUUUCCCUCUAGAGUUGGGGUCAGCAAAAUUGGUUUUUUUUUUUUUUUUUUUUUUUAGACGGAGUCUCGCUCUGUCGUCCAGGCUGGAGUGCAGUGGCAUGAUCUUGGCUCACCGCAACCUCCGCCUCCCGGGUUCAAGCAAUUCUCAUGCCUUAGCCUCCCAGGUAGCUGGGACUACAGGCGCACGCCACCAUGCCCAGCUAAUUUUUGUAUUUUUAGUAGAGACGGGAUUUCACCAUGUUGGCCAUGAUGGUCUCUAUCUCCUGACCUCGUGAUCCACCCACCUCGGCCUCCCAAAGUGCUGGGAUUAUAGGCAUGAGCCACAGCCCCCGGCCAGCAAACUUUUUUUUGUAAAAGACCCAGAUAGUAAAUAUUUUCAGCUUUGCAGGCCAUAUGCUCUACUCAAUUGUGUCACUCUGCCAUUAUAGUGUGAAAACAGCCAUAGACAAUCUGUAAAUAAAUGUGAGUGGUUGCGUUUCAAUAAAACUUUAUUUACAGAAACAGGCAAUGGACCAGAGCUGGUAAAAAAUUUGUCAAUCUCUGACCUAGACCAAAGAAAUUAUAGGAAUAGUUUACUCAAAGUCAGGAAGCUGGUAUUUUUAAAAAUAAACUUUAAUAAAUUACAGUUCACAUACAAUGAAUUGCAUAUUUU
rnacentral:lncRNA from 10 species